rnacentral:lncRNA from 1 species
AAAGGAAAAAGAGGACUCACCAUCACAAUUCAUCACUCACAAUGGAAUAUAAACACACAUUCGCGCACUAAAAGUUUCACACACACAUCACCUUCACGGGAAUUCCAAACACAUAUAUCCACCAUCAAUGCACACACACAAUGACGAAAUCGUGAGGGAACGGGAGUAAGAUAGUGAGAAUCAAGAGAAUGGAGGGGUUUUGAGAGGGAUCUAGUGAAGAGGCGGUGAAAACGGCUCGGGUUUAGAGUUUGUCCGGCGAAAUCUUCGCCAGAAUCGAUCCCGACUUUCCGAACUAUUACGUCCAUCCUUGAAAUUCUCCCCUAAAUCUCUUUGUUUACUUGAUUUUUAGGCGAAAUCCCUCCGGAGAACAUUAAGGUCGCCGGAAUCCGACCUGUGUCGUCGUUUUUUGUCAUCAUCUGAGUUCGUUGGAGCUCCGGUUCUCAAUUUUUCUUGUGAUUUUUUUGGGGUUCUCGGAUUGCUCGAUUCGUGUCUGUGGGAUUUCUGUUUGGACUGUGUUUUUUGGGAAUAGUCCGUGUUUGGAGUUCGAUUGAUAGUCAAGAUUUAUUAUUCAUUGAGGUUAUUUGUUGAGGAUUUCUGGGAUGACUCUUUGUUCCCUUCAUAAGUCAAUUGCAAGUACUCAUAAGGACCAAUUCUAUCUUUUCUCCCUUUAAUUUCUAUGUAAUUAUGAAUGAUUUGUGUGUUUGGCAUGUUUGAAUCGUCAUUGUAUGUUGGUUGAUGUUGGAUUUGGAUGUGAAAACUUGAAUGGUGGAUUGUGUAUUGAAUUGGUUUAAUCAUGUUGAGAAUGAAUUUGGGGGGUGAGAAUUAAAAACGGAUAAAAAUGAACGUGAUUAGUUUAUAUUGAUUAAUUGAUGUUUGUUUGAUGCAAAAUAGGCGUCGAAUUUGCUAAGUUUGAUAAUAUCACGUUUUAAAUCGAAACUAGUAG